UCCUGGGUAGCUCAGAGGCAGAGCGGGUGGCUGUUAACCACUUGGUCGGGGGUUCGACUCCCUCCCCAGGAG
rnacentral:tRNA from 1 species